rnacentral:rRNA from 1 species
AAUGAACGUUGGCGGCGUGGAUUAGGCAUGCAAGUCGCACGAGAAACCAAUUAGCUUGCUAUGAGGUGGACAGUGGCGAAAGGGAGAGUAACGCGUGGUUACAUGCCCUCGAGACCGGGAUAGUGUCGGGAAACUGGCAGUAAUACCGGAUAACAUCUUCGGAUCAAAUGGUGUGAUUCCGCUCGAGGAUUGGACCGCGUACUAUUAGCUUGUUGGUGAGGUAAUGGCUCACCAAGGCUGCGAUGGUUACCGGGUGUGAGAGCAUGGCCCGGCUCACUGGGACUGAGACACUGCCCAGACAUCUACGGAUGGCUGCAGUCGAGAAUCUUCGGCAAUGGACGAAAGUCUGACCGAGCGACGCCGCGUGCGGGAUGAAGGCCCUCGGGUUGUAAACCGCUGUCAGUUUGUUAGGAAAUCCAUGAGGGUUCUCUCUCAUGGUUGACCGAUCUUCAGAGGAAGGACGGGCUAAGUUCGUGCCAGC